GGGGAUUUAGCUCAGUGGUAGAGUGCUUGCCUAGCAAGCGCAAGGCCCUGGGAUCGGUUCCCAGCUCCA
rnacentral:tRNA from 1 species